rnacentral:lncRNA from 1 species
AUGUUAUUACUAUGUAAACUUGAUCUUCAAGAUUUUAAAACAAUCCUCUUCAACCGAACAAACAUGGAAGUUGACUUGAAGAAGAAUAUUAGAUCCAGCCUGACGUUUUUUGCAUCAAUAGUUCACUGGAAAGAUCCUUAUUAAUAAAAACUAUUUUGAAGGGAAAGGAAGGGAGAAGUACUCUAAUACUUAAGGAACACAUUGUGACAGGUAUGUUACGUGCUUAUGCUUGACGACAACCCCACUGGACAGGUAUUA